rnacentral:tRNA from 1 species
AUGGGGUAAUCAGGCAUCCUAGCGGGCUCCAGUCAGUUUGUGAUUAGCGAGAGGGUCAACUGAUUUCAUGAUGAUUGACUGGAACUAUGAAACAGGAAGAGACCCGUAGAUCUGGGUUCAAAUCCC